rnacentral:rRNA from 1 species
UACGUAGGGGGCAAGCGUUUGUCCGGAAUCAUUGGGCGUAAAGAGCGUGUAGGCGGCCAGAUAAGUCCGCUGUGAAAACUCGAGGCUCAACUUCGAGCUGUCGGUGGAAACUAUUUGGCUAGAGUCCGGAAGAGGAGAGUGGAAUUCCUGGUGUAGCGGUGAAAUGCGCAGAUAUCAGGAAGAACACCCGUGGCGAAGGCGGCUCUCUGGUACGGAACUGACGCUGAGACGCGAAAGCGUGGGGAGCGAACAGG